UCCCUGCCCUUUCUAGGUCUCCGUCUCCCUUUCUCUGGGUCUCUGUUGCCCUCUCUCUGAGCCUCUGUCCCCCUCUCUCUGAGUCUGUGUCCCCCUCUCUCUGGGUCUCUGGUCCCCUCUCUCUCUGGGUCUCUGUCCCUCUCUCUCUGGGUCUCUGUCCCCCUCCCUCUGGGUCUCUGUCACCCUCUCUCUCUGGGUCUCUGUUACCCUCUUUCUCUGGGUCUCUGUCUCCCUCUCUCUCUGGGCCUCUGGACCCCUCUCUCUGGUCCCUGUCCCCCCCUCCCUGGUCUCUGUCCCCCUCUUUCUGGUCUCUGUCUCCCCCUCUCCCUGGGUCUCUGUCUCCCUCUCUUUCUGGAUCUCUGUCCCUCUCUCUGGGUCUCUGUCCCCCUCUCUGGUCUCUGGCCCCCCCCCGUCUCUGUCCCCCCCUCCCUCUGGUCUCUGUCCCCCUCUCUCUCUGGGUCUCUGUCCCCUCCGUCACUGGUCUCUGUCCCCCCCUUCACUGGGUCUCUGUCCCCCUCUCUCUCUGGUCUCUGUCCCCCUCUGUCUCUGGGUCUCUAUCCCCACCUCACUGGUCUCUGUCCCCCCAUCACUGGGUCUCUGUCCCCCUCUCUCUCUGGUCUCUGUCCCCCUCUCUCUCUGGGUCUCUGUCCCCCCCCUUGCUGGUCUCUGUCCCCAUCCCCUCUCUGGGUCUCUGUCCCCCUCCCUCUCUGGGUCUCUGUCCCCCUCUCUCUAGACCUCCCCUCAGUCUUGCUUGGCCCCUCUUCUUUUCUGGCAGCUGCUGCUCACAUCCUACCACCUGUUCUUGGGGUGGGACAGGGGAAGUUUCACCCACACCUUCCUUCCCCACCACUAACUUUUGCCUCCUGUCUUCUUUAAAACCCGUAAUUCAUACCCGAACCUUUAGCCUUCAUGGCCCUCGGCAUUACUCUAGGGCCCAGAUGGGGGAACCCCGGGCUGGGGCCGCCCUGGACGAUGGCAGCGGCUGGACGGGCAGUGAGGAAGGCAGUGAGGAGGGUACCGGCGGCAGUGAGGGGGCUGGGGGUGACGGGGGCCCGGAUGCAGAGGGGGUGUGGAGCCCAGACAUUGAGCAGAGCUUCCAGGAGGCCCUGGCCAUCUAUCCACCCUGCGGCCGCCGGAAAAUUAUUUUGUCUGAUGAAGGCAAGAUGUAUGGUCGGAAUGAACUGAUCGCCCGCUACAUCAAGCUGAGAACGGGGAAGACCCGAACUCGAAAACAGGUUUCUAGUCACAUCCAGGUUUUGGCCCGAAGGAAAUCAAGGGAAAUCCAGUCCAAGUUGAAGGCUCUGAACGUGGACCAGGUUUCCAAGGACAAGGCUUUCCAGACAAUGGCAACCAUGUCCUCUGCCCAGCUCAUCUCCGCGCCUUCUCUGCAGGCCAAACUGGGUCCCACUGGUCCUCAGGUGGUCCAGGCCUCUGAGCUUUUCCAGUUUUGGUCUGGAGGAUCUGGGCCCCCCUGGAAUGUUCCAGAUGUGAAGCCAUUCUCACAGACACCGUUCACCUUGUCACUGACUCCCCCGUCUACUGACCUCCCAGGGUACGAGCCCCCCCAAGCCCUCUCACCCCUGCCCCCACCUACCCCAUCGCCCCCAGCCUGGCAGGCUCGGGCCCUGGGCACCGCCCGGUUGCAGCUGGUAGAGUUCUCAGCCUUCGUGGAACCGCCAGAUGCAGUUGAUUCUUACCAGAGGCACCUGUUCGUGCACAUCAGCCAGCACUGCCCCAGCCCCGGAGCGCCGCCGCUCGAGAGUGUGGACGUCCGGCAGAUCUACGACAAAUUCCCUGAGAAAAAGGGUGGCCUCCGAGAGCUAUAUGAUCGUGGCCCCCCCCAUGCCUUCUUCCUGGUCAAGUUCUGGGCGGACCUGAACUGGGGCCCAAGUGGUGAGGAGGCAGGGGCCGGUGGCAGCAUCAGCAGUGGUGGCUUCUACGGAGUGAGCAGCCAGUAUGAGAGCCUGGAACACAUGACCCUCACCUGUUCCUCCAAGGUCUGCUCUUUUGGCAAGCAGGUGGUGGAGAAGGUGGAGGUGAGGCUGGAGGGAUGGAGCUCUGGGGCAGACGGAACGGGCCCAGCUGGAGGACGGCAGAUUUGUGUACCGCCUGCUACGCUCGCCCAUGUGCGAGUACCUGGUGAAUUUCUUGCACAAGUUGCGGCAGCUGCCUGAGCGAUACAUGAUGAACAGCGUCCUGGAAAACUUCACCAUCCUCCAGAGAUGGGGUUUCACCAUGUUCGCCAGGUUGGUCUUGAACUCCGACCUCAAGUGAUCCACCUGCCUAGGCCUCCCAAAGUGCUGGGAUUACAGGCGUGAGCCACCACGCCCAGCCCCACAGCACUCGCACAUAAGGUGGUGACAAACAGAGACACCCAGGAACUGCUGCUCUGCACCGCCUAUGUCUUCGAGGUCUCCACCAGCGAGCGUGGGGCCCAGCAUCACAUUUACCGCCUGGUCAGGGACUGAAGGGGGACCCCAAAACUGGCUCACCCCCCAGAACACCCUCCUCCCAGGGAGGGUCCUCCAGCUCACCUCAUGCUUCUUAUUUGGGGAGAGGGCUGUGAUGUAAAGGGGUUGACCUCAGAGGCCUAAGCAACUGGGGCCAUCCCCCCCAUUAGAGGGGCCCCCAAAACUUGGUUGGAGAGCUGAACAGGCUGGGACUGAGGAAAGGAUAAACCCCGAUAUUGGGACCUCACAGUGGGUGUCUGAAAGGACAGAUCACUCUGGAGUAUCAGGGAUUGUGGGGACAGGAGUGAGACAACCCCCCAGGUACAGCACUGGCUUUUCUUUUCAGCCCCUGACAGGCCACCCCUCCCCCCCCACUCCUCUGCAUGUCUUGGAGAGCGCUAGUUACACAUUGGCUUGUCCCCUUUACUUUUUCCCAGCCACCCCUCCCCCUGAAAUUUCUGCCCCUCUCUACCACCCUCACUCCAUGACCUGUGAGAUCACAAAGUGAAGAUGAACCCUUUCUGUGCAGGAGCAGAGCCAGGUGGGCCCUGGAAAUAUUUUUUUUUUUUUAAUAUAACGAGAUAUUUAUAAGUGGGUGCUAGGGUCUUGACUUUAUCUCCGCUGCACAAGCAGUGUGUUGAACUUUCUAAUCUCAUCCCUCUCCUAAGUGAGCCCUGAGCUAGACGGUUUCCUUCCUCCUCUCUCAAAGUUUGUUGGUUUGUGUUCUGACAGAGGAUAAAGCUAUUUUACCAAAAACGCA